AUGUACAUUCCUACAGCAUAGUGUUAAUGCAUCGGAUCCCAUUUGAAAUUCACAUUUAAGCAUGCUCAGGCUAUAGUAGUACUAGGAUGGGUGAUCGCCUGGGAAGUCCUAGUGUUUUGCAUG
rnacentral:rRNA from 1 species